rnacentral:rRNA from 1 species
GACGAACGCUGGCGGCGUGCUUAACACAUGCAAGUCGAACGGAAAGGCCCUGCUUUUGUGGGGUGCUCGAGUGGCGAACGGGUGAGUAACACGUGAGUAACCUGCCCUUGACUUUGGGAUAACUUCAGGAAACUGGGGCUAAUACCGGAUAGGAGCUCCUGCUGCAUGGUGGGGGUUGGAAAGUUUCGGCGGUUGGGGAUGGACUCGCGGCUUAUCAGCUUGUUGGUGGGGUAGUGGCUUACCAAGGCUUUGACGGGUAGCCGGCCUGAGAGGGUGAACGGCCACAAUGGGACUGAGAUACGGCCCAGACUCCUACGGGAGGCAGCAGUGGGGAAUAUUGCACAAUGGGCGGAAGCCUGAUGCAGCAACGCCGCGUGCGGGAUGACGGCCUUCGGGUUGUAAACCGCUGUCGCCUGUGACGAAGCGUGAGUGACGGUAAUGGGUAAAGAAGCACCGGCUAACUACGUG